ensembl:lncRNA
GUCUUGCGUGCUGGUUGGCAGCGUGGUGGUGGAGGUGUGUGAGGCAGGCUGGGGUGCUGAGGGCUGAAUGGGAUGUAUUUGACUCCAAUUUGAAUUGGUUUGCUUUCAACUGGGCUGCUGACGUUCCGGGUGCUCACCAAGACAAGGGAGUGGAUAGAGGUCAACACAGCUGGGAGGGAUCCCCGUGCGUCCCGGACAGUGAAUGACAACGCAGAGGAAAUGGCCAGUCUGAACAACAACAUGGCCCAGUGUCACCAGGAGUUACAGGUGAGCUGGUGUGUGUGUUACAGGUGAGCUGGUAUAUUGUUGCUGGUGUGUGUGUUACAGAUGAGCUAGUGUGUGGGUUACAGGUGAGCUAGUGUGUGUGUUGCAGGUGAGCUGGUGUGUGUGUUACAGGUGAGCUAGUGUGUGUGUUACAGGUGAGCUGGUGUGUGUGUUACAGGUGAGCUGGUAUGUUGUUGCUGGGGAUCUAUGUUUGGGAGGAAGUGAGAUAAAACAAAGAAAGAGAUACUAGUUAGUCCAAGUGGACUGAGACGCUUCAUCUUUGGGGGGUGGGGGGCUCUUUGUUCUGAGCUGGGCCCGUUGCCAGGGGAACACAGCCCCCGACGCGACAGCAGUCGGCUACUGUGUCUUUCC